rnacentral:rRNA from 1 species
UACGUAGGGUGCAAGCGUUAUCCGGAAUUAUUGGGCGUAAAGAGCUCGUAGGCGGUUUGUCGCGUCUGCUGUGAAAACUGGAGGCUCAACCUCCAGCCUGCAGUGGGUACGGGCAGACUAGAGUGCGGUAGGGGAGAUUGGAAUUCCUGGUGUAGCGGUGGAAUGCGCAGAUAUCAGGAGGAACACCGGUGGCGAAGGCGGGUCUCUGGGCAGUAACUGACGCUGAGGAGCGAAAGCGUGGGGAGCAAACAGG